rnacentral:rRNA from 1 species
GAUGAACGCUGGCUACAGGCUUAACACAUGCAAGUCGAGGGGAGACGACGGGGAAGCUUGCUUCCCCGGGCGUCGACCGGCGCACGGGUGAGUAACGCGUAUCCAACCUGCCUCUGACUGAGGGAUAACCCGUCGAAAGUCGGCCUAAUACCUCAUGGCAUCGUCUGCGGGCAUCCAACGACGAUUAAAGAUUUCAUCGGUCAGGGAUGGGGAUGCGUCUGAUUAGCUAGUUGGCGGGGUAACGGCCCACCAAGGCGACGAUCAGUAGGGGUUCUGAGAGGAAGGUCACACACGUUGGAACUGAGACACGGUCCAAACUCCUACGGGAGGCAGCAGUGAGGAAUAUUGGUCGAUGGGCGAGAGCCUGAACCAGCCAAGUAGCGUGCAGGAUGACGGCCAUAUGGUUUGUAAACUGCUUUUAUGCGGGGAUAAAGUGAGGGACGUGUCCUUCAUUGCAGGUACCGCAUGAAUAAGGACCGGCUAAUUCCGUG